rnacentral:rRNA from 1 species
UGAGUAACGCGUAGGAAUCUACCUAGUAGUGGGGGACAACUCGGGGAAACUCGAGCUAAUACCGCAUACGCCCUACGGGGGAAAGCGGGGGACCUUCGGGCCUCGUGCUAUUAGAUGAGCCUGCGUUGGAUUAGCUAGUUGGUGGGGUAAUGGCCCACCAAGGCGACGAUCCAUAGCUGGUCUGAGAGGAUGAUCAGCCACACCGGGACUGAGACACGGCCCGGACUCCUACGGGAGGCAGCAGUGGGGAAUAUUGCGCAAUGGGCGAAAGCCUGACGCAGCCAUGCCGCGUGUGUGAAGAAGGCCUUCGGGUUGUAAAGCACUUUCAAUUGGGAGGAAAGGUUCACGGCUAAUACCCGUGAGCUGUGACGUUACCUUUAGAAGAAGCACCGGCUAACUCCGUGCCAGCAGCCGCGGUAAUACGGAGGGUGCGAGCGUUAAUCGGAAUUACUGGGCGUAAAGCGCGCGUAGGUGGUCUGUUAAGUCGGAUGUGAAAGCCCCGGGCUCAACCUGGGAACUGCAUCCGAUACUGGCAGACUAGAGUGCGGGAGAGGGAGGUAGAAUUCCACGUGUAGCGGUGAAAUG